UACAUGGGGUGCAAACGUUGCUCGGAAUCAUUGGGCGUAAAGCGCGCGUAGGCGGUUACUUAUGUCGGAUGUGAAAGCCCUCGGCUUAACUGAGGAAGUGCAUUCGAAACUGGGUAGCUAGAGUACUAAAAGAGGGUCGCGGAAUUCCCGGUGUAGAGGUGAAAUUCGUAGAUAUCGGGAGGAACACCGGUGGCGAAGGCGGCGACCUGGGUCGAGACUGACGCUGAGGCGCGAAAGCGUGGGGAGCAAACAGG
rnacentral:rRNA from 1 species